GAAUUUUCAUUAAUCAAUUCUGGCAGAAACUGAGGAACGCGAAAGUAGAAACCUUAGACAAUUGUCAUGUGUGUAUCUCUCUAGAAAUGGAUAGAAAGGUAGAUACAGCGACCACAUCGUGAUGUACAGAACCUUCUCUUCUCCUGCUUUUCAAACGCAAAAAAAAACACACAUAUACGCACGUUCCUUUUCAGGUAAAACAUCUCGCCCCACGCGGGGAGAGAUCUUUCCAAGAAUUCACCUUAAUUUUGGCUUCAGGUUUAUUAUAACUUAUCGUAUAAUCUAUUUUUUAAGAACUAUGUCCUUUUUCCGUUAAUUUCGCUUUCUCAUUGUUUUGAACUCAAAUUUCUUUUGCCCUCUUUCUUACGGACCUUCCAAGUCCACCCCUUUUCGUUCUGCCCAAAAACCCACAAAUAAAUUAUAUAAUUAUAGAAGAUUUUUUUUUCUGGACGUUGUUUCUAUUUACUCGUCCAAGAAUUCAGUAAGUUGUUCAUCGUUUAAUUGAAUGUUGUGGUGAUGGAUCUGAGAAGGCGUAUAUUUUUACUUUUGCUAUUGUUCUCGGUUCAAUUGAUUUGCUUGGUGAAGGGGAAUAUUGUAUUUAAAGUUCAACAUAAAUUCGGAGGGCGUGGGGCGGGGCGAUCAGCACUUACUUCAUUUCGGGCGCAUGAUUCGUUCCGGCACGGCAGAAUGCUGGGAGCGGUUGAUUUGCCUUUGGGCGGCAACGGCCAGCCCACCGACGCUGCGCUCUAUUACACAAAACUUUCAAUUGGAAAUCCUUCCAACGACUAUCAUGUCCAGGUCGAUACGGGAAGUGACAUUCUGUGGGUGAAUUGUGUUGGCUGUGAUAAGUGUCCUACGAAAAGCGACCUUAAAAUAGCUUUGAAGCAGUAUGACUUGAAGGCCUCCUCAACUGGAAAGGCAGUUACUUGUGAUCAAGAUUUUUGCUCCGCUAUGUUUAAUGGUCAAGAUCCAGAUUGCAAGGUGGGAGCUUUCUGUGACUAUGCUGUUACUUAUGGAGAUGGGAGCAGAACAGAGGGAUAUUUUGUUAGAGAUGACAUCAAACUUGAUGAAGUGACUGGAAACCUGCAGACCUCAUCCAUGAAUGGGUCCAUAGCAUUUGGGUGCUCAUCUAAACAAUCUGGAGAGUUAGGUUCAUCUUCUGAAGCAGUUGACGGGAUUCUUGGUUUUGGACAAGCAAAUACAUCCGUGCUUUCGCAGCUUGCUUCGUCUGGGAAAGUGAAGAAAAUAUUUUCACAUUGCCUGGAUGGUGUCAAAGGAGGUGGCAUAUUUGCAAUUGGACAAGUGGUCCAGCCAAAAGUAAAAUCAACACCUUUGGUCCCUAAUGAGGCACAUUAUAAUGUUGUUCUGAAGUCAGUUGAGGUGGGUGGUGGUUCUCUAGACCUUCCAACAGAUUUGUCUGGCCCUGGUUCUCAGAGAGGGACAAUAAUUGAUAGUGGUACAACCUUGGCCUAUCUUCCAGAUGAGAUCUAUGAACGGCUUAUGGAAAAGGUGAUGGAACGGCAACCUAAUCUAAAAACUCAAAUAGUUGAGCAGCAGUUCAAGUGCUUUGAUUACAGUGGGAAUGUCGAUAAUGGAUUUCCAGUUGUCUCUUUUCAUUUUGAGGACUCACUUUCUUUGACGGUUUAUCCCCAUGAAUAUCUAUUCAAAAUUAGUGAUGAGGAGUGGUGUAUCGGUUGGCAGAGCAGUGGAAUGCAGACAAAGGAUGGAAAGGAAAUAACCUUGUUGGGAGAUAUUGUCUUAUCAAACAAGCUCGUUGUGUAUGAUCUCGAAAAUCAGACCAUUGGAUGGACAGAACAUAACUUGCUGUGAGGUUGCCUUGUGAAGUCCAGAGUUCUCCUUUGAACUAUAUAGACGAGAAUAAGCUUUAAAAAAGGCUCUUCGAGCAUCAAAGUUAGGGAUGAAAAGUCAGGAAACAGUUAUACAGUGGGCGCCCAUGAUAUUUCUUCUUCUAGCAUUCUGAGUAGAGGAAAUAUUAUAUCCUUCGUUUUGUUAAUAGCCUUCCUGCUGAAUUUGAUCGAUUGAGCCGUCGCAGCUAGUUUUUUUUCGAUAAUGUUUAUCACAAUUUGUUGGAUGCUGAUGGAUUUGUUAUUUGAUUCUUUGAGUUCAUAGUUAAAAAUAGUUAUUGGAAUUAUGAGAAUUCCUAUGAUUCUUUGAUUCCACCGUCUUGUUUUGUGUACUUGUCGACAAGAAAAUAUAGCAGAUACUAAAUCAGAUGAACUGAAGAAUUGUAUACAAUGUGACAAGGUAGUUCUUGAUUUUUUAUUUUUUUCCUUUCAUUGUAAUUAUCAAUUUACUUAAUUAUUGGCUUCGGUUUCUUGUUC